UGAACACAAGAAUUAGGACAAGGUUUUAGAGUUCGGUGAUGACCGUCCGGACGUCUAGUGGCCAAUUUGCGGGAAAACAAACACAAGAACUCCAAAUCUCCCCUGAUGUCUGUCCGAUUUACAAAAUAACGAACACAAGAACACGUUCGCAGACAAUUAAGGUCCGCAUAGUGUUUUUCAGGGUGUGGUGGAGAUGCCCUAAGGAAGAGCUACCGUCAACAUACGAAAUCGAACUUCAUACAACACUCAAACUAGAACAUCGAAGGCACCGUUUACAACAUGAUACGCUCGUGAACCAACUACUCCCUCUAUUUUUUUUUAGUCCGCAUAUAAGGUUUGGUCAAAGUCAAUCUUUAUAAAGUUUGACUAAUUUUAUAUUAAAAAAUAUAAACAUUUAUAAUAUGAAAUCAAUAUUGUCAGAUCCUCUAUGAAACAUAUUAUCAUACUAUAUAGUUUUAGUAUUGUAGAUGUUUAUAUUUUUUUUAUAUAAAUUUGGUCAAACUUUAUGUAAUUUGACUUUGACCAAAUUUUAUAUGCGGAGUAAAAAAAAGGAGGGAGUACUUAUGAGUCUCAUACCUUUUCAGCAGGGUAGCGUUAGGCACAAUAAAAGGUGCUUAGAGAGAUGCUUAGAAAAAUAAACCGGAUUUUUCUGAAGCACCGGUGCUUAUUUCUAGAGGAGAGACGCUUAGUUAAGCGUCUAUCCGGUACAAAUAAGCACCGGUGCUUAAGAAAAUCCUGGUUUAUUUCUCUAAACACCUCUCAUAAGCACCUCCCAUUGUACAAGGCCUUAAAUGGUCUCAGAGUACAUAAGGGUCUCAGGUAUAAACAACCCGUUAUAGCCCGCUAUAGCUGAUUAUGAGGUCCGCCGCUAUUUGGCGUAGCCCACUAUUUAAAACAUUGCUCCCAUGGCCAUCCUGACUGACGGGCAUCCUGCUCCCGUGGCCAUCUCUAGAUGUACUUCUCCGCCGCCGGGUGCCAGCCGCUGGCCGGGUACGCGGGGUCAGGGGCCACAGGGGUGCCGACGGGGCCGUGGUGGCCGUGCGUCCCAGCCGUGCCGUGGCAUCCCGCGGCCGCUUUGGCGCGGUGCUCGGCCUUCUCCUGGUGCUUCUGCGCGUCGGCCUGGGCCUUGUGCGCGCGCUCCUCCUCCUUGGCCAUCUCCUUCUCGCCGUGCGUGGUCGCCGCGGCUUUGCCCGCCUUGCCCUGCACCUCGGCCGAUCCCUCCUUCGCUUUCUCCUGGGCCGAGCUCACCAUGUCCUUGGCCCUCACCUUCGCCGUCUGCAUCGUGUAGUGUGCCGCUCCUCCAAUGGCUGCCUCGUGCGUCGCGUGCGGGUGUCUGGUCGUGUGGAUAUAGUUCUUCGGCGGCUGUCUUGCUUGUGUGGCUCUUGGGUGUGGUGGAUUUAUGGGCGCUGAUUGCUCGGAGCGGCGGCGGUGGAGUUUGGUUUCUUGCCGGGCGCGAGCGGCGUCCUCUCGCCUGGCAGCACGUCAGCUGCGGGGUGGCUGGUGGCGCGCAUGCGGCGAUGCCAGAGCAUCGGGAGCUGCACGUCGCGGCUUGAGGUGGCAAACUGGCAGCCCGGCAGCUCCAUAACGUUGGGCCUGUGCGGCCGCACCGCCGAUACUAUGCUAACCUGCUUGGUGAUCUGGAAGAUGUUCAGUUUAAUGAAACUGCUGAUAGAGCUAUCAGGUUACUGGAUAAGAAGUGAUAUUAAGAAAAAUUCCACAAAGAGACAACAUUUGUCUUUGUUCUUCAGCUUUCUUGCGUGCGACUUGUGUUGUUCUUCUUCUUUUUUUCUUUUUUUUAGGGAAAAGAGCAAAAUUACAUUACUCUUGAGCCAACAUACAGUCGGCUGCUAGCACUGCUUUCAGGUCACCCGGGACAGUCGCCAUCCAUUGCAUGUCGCCCAUUCUCCUAGCUCUGCCGCGAGGCAAUGCGCCAUAUUGUUCUGUUUACGGUUAGCAUAUAUGACCUGAGAUCCUUGGAAUUUCUGCAGCUCCUUCUUGAUGUCGUGUAGCACUGAGAAACAGGCUGAUCGAUUAUCUGAAUCAGGUUGUAGUUCCUUCACCAGGAAUGAACAGUCAGUCUCAGCGAUGACAGGUUCUCUGUAUAGCAUCGCCAAUUUCUGCAGUCCAUAGAGCAGAGCACGAGCCUCGGCUUCCUCCACAGAAGAGCAGCGAACAAUUUCUUUGGACAGCGAGAAGAGAACGAAUCCCCCGUGAUCGCGAGCCACUGCACCCACAUGAGAAAUCCCGUUGUCAGCAAAGAAAGAAGCAUCAGUAUUCAGUUUGACAGUUUCGCUGUCUGGGGGGUACCACUGCUUUGCAACACCUGAAUCAGGUUCCUUGUCCUGUAACUUCUCCACACCAGCGUCAGAGACAGGUCGUUCUUGCUCAGCCGAAACAAGAACUGUAUGCUCCCUGCCAUGUUUAUCCUUUGUUCCUGAAAAAAAACUUCCCGUUGUAGCUGAUCAGUUCCUCCUCAUAUUGCUGCAGAAAGUGUGCCGAUCUACUGAUCAACUCCUUUCCCGUACUAUGGAUGCAAUCACCUCGCAGGAACCAACACCUCCACAGCACCAGAAUAGUUUUAGUCCCCAUCUCCGUAUUGCAGGUUCCUAGGAGGAUCUGAAGCCAGUCCUCCCCUGAGAACCUAAAGAGUGUCUCACUAGGUAGAUCCUAGACUUUCCGCAUUUCGCUUCUUAAGGCCUUACUUUUUGUACAGGAAAUUACCGCAUGAUAUUCAUCUUCCUCUCCGUUGCCACAAAUAUUGCAGGUGUUGUCAACUUCUAGAGUACGUUUCCAUUUGUUCAAUUUGGUCGGUAAGGUAUUUGUAGCUAUUCUCCACCCAAAAAUCUUAAUUUUUUCAGGGACCUUGGCUUUCCAAAUGAUAUCCCAGAUGCUACGGUCAUCGCCUGAAUUUGUGGAACUCGAAGCUGGCCUGUUUUCCUGGAUUUGGAGAGAUGCCGCCAGUCUGUACGCACUCCAGACAGUGAAGGUACCCGAUUUCUCAUAGUGUCACGCCACCAUGUCCUCCGCCUCAGAUACUGGGAUUUUGAUAUUGCAAAUCGCUUCGGCAUCAAAACUAAAAAACAGUUGAUGGAUUAACUCCGAGUUCCAACCGCUGUCGUCGGCAUUCAUCAACUGAUUAACCCAUCUUAAUCUGGAGCGCCGAAUGAAUUGUGCAGGUUUCAGUCCUUCCUCCUGCGGGAUCCAUUGAUCCCGUUGAAUGCUGACCUUCCUUCCAUUACCGAUCCUCCAAACAAGACCCGCCUUGAGAAGCUCAAGCCCAUGUUCAAUUCCCCGCCAAACCGGAGAGGCAUUCGUUGCAAACACCGUAUCCAAUAGUUCACCACACGGGUAGUACUUGGAUUUAAGAACUCUUGCGCACAAGCUAUCCGGCCUUAGAAUCAACCUCCAGGCUUGUCGUGCGAGCAGUGCUUGGUUGAAGAGCUUCAUAUCUUUAAAACUGAUGCCACCUCCUCCUUUUGGCUUUAUCAUGCGCUCCCAGGACAUCCAAUGAACCUUCCUGUGGCCAUUUUCAUCGCCCCACCAGAAGUCCCGUAUCAGUUUCUCGUAUCUCUCGCAGAAACCAUGGGUCAUUUCAAAGACCCCCAUGCAGUAAGUUGGGAGGGCUUGGAGGACUGACUUAACUAGAACCUCUUUCGCUGCAUGAGACAUAAAUCUUUCAGACCAAUCUGAGCAUCUCUUGAUGAAUCUCUCCAUGAUAGGUUGGAACAUGGAAUCUUUCAUUCGUCCUUCUGGCGUGGGGAGUCCUAAAUACUUGCUUUCAAAGGUGGAGGCCAUGAUAUCAAGCACCAUUUUGACAUCUUGUUGGACCUCCACUGGGCAUAGCUCACUGAAGAGUAAAGAACACUUGCUGAAACUGAGAAGUUGUCCCGAGCCCUUUUGGAAAUCAAUUAGGACUUGUUUCACCCUCUCGGCCUCUUCAACUGAAGCUUUGAAAAAGAGAAGGCUGUCAUCGGCGAAUAGUAGAUUUGAAAUCCCAGGGUUUUUCUUUUGAUCGAGCUUACUGUCGUAAUUGGGUUUUUCUAGUAUGGGUGAGCGAGGUUUAUGAAAGAACUUUGUUUUUUCUUUGGCUUCCUAUAAAAGCCAGAUAAUGGAAGUUGUCAUUUCUCUAAAAAUGUUCAAGAAACCUUUUUUUGGGAGGUAAAUAGGAGUUUUAUUCCAUAAUGAUAGGGUUAUGUUCGAGAAACUUGAAGCAUGAUUUUUGGAGAUGUAAGAAUCAUACAGUUUAGAAAUGAAUCAAGUUCAUGCACUAGUAAACUAAAAAAGUAAAUCAUGUAUUAACCAAGGCAAAAAUAUACACAUAGAAAAUAGAUAAUUGUACCUCACCUGAGGAACCAGCAUAGCACAUUAUCAGAUCUCAUGUGUAAUGUGUUCACAAUUUUGAUUCACCCUUUUCGACCCAACUUUCCUGCCUACAAGCAAAAGAAACCCAAUAAACCAAUGUAAAUUCAAUAGUUGAAUCGAGAGAAAACAUGCAUAACCACAAGCAUGCUAGUGUAAAAUGAAGGAAAUAUGCCCUAGAGGCAAUAAUAAAGUUAUUAUUUAUUUCCUCAUAUCAUGAUAAAUUUUUAUUAUUCAUGCUAGAAUUGUAUUAACCGGAAACAUGAUACAUGUGUGAAUACAUAGACAAACAUAUAGUCACUAGUAUGUCUCUACUUGAAUAGCUCAUCAAUCAAAGAUGGUUAUGUUUCCUAACCAUAGACAUGUGUUGUCAUUUGAUUAGUGGGAUCACAUCAUUAGGAGAAUGAUGUGAUUGACAUGACCCAUUCCGUUAGCCCAGCACUUGAUCGUUUAGUAUAUUGCUAUUGCUUUCUUCAUGACUUAUACAUGUUCCUGUAACUAUGAGAAUUAUGCAACUCCCGUUUACCGGAGGAACACUUUGGGUACUACCAAACGUCACAACGUAACUGGGUGAUUAUAAAGGAGUACUACAGGUGUCUCCGAAGGUACAUGUUGAGUUGGCGUAUUUCGAGAUUAGGUUUUGUCACUCCGAUUGUCGGAGAGGUAUCUCUGGGCCCUCUCGGUAAUGCACAUCAUUAUAAGCCUUGCAAGCAAUGUAACCAAAUGAGUUGGUUACGGGAUGAUGCACUACGGAACGAGUAAAGAGACUUGCCGGUAACGAGAUUGAACUAGGUAUUGGAUACCGACGAUCAAAUCUCGGGCAAGUAACAUACCGAUGACAAAGGGAACAACGCAUGUUGUUAUGCGGUUUGAUCGAUAAAGAUCUUCGUAGAAUAUGUAGGAACCAAUAUGGGCAUCCAGGUCCCGCUAUUGGUUAUUGACCGAGAAUAGUUCUAGGUCAUGUCUACAUAGUUCUUGAACCCGUAGGGUCCGCACGCUUAACGUUACGAUGACAGUUUUAUUAUGAGUUUAUAAGUUUUGAUGUACUGAAGUUUGUUCGGAGUCCCGGAUGUGAUCACGGACAUGACGAGGAGUCUCGAAAUGGUCGAGACAUAAAGAUUGAUAUAUUGGAAGCCUAUGUUUGGACAUCGGAAUGGUUCCGGGUGAAAUCGGCAUUUUACCGGAGUACCGGGAGGUUACCGGAACCCCCCGGGGGGUUGUUGGGCCUACAUGGGCCUCGAGGGAGAAGAGAAAAGGAGGUAGGAGGGGGCCGCGCGCCCCUCCCCUUCCUGGUCCGAAUAGGACAAGGGAAGGGGGGCGGCGCCCCCCCCCCUUUCCUUCCCCUCUUCCUCCUCUUUCCCCCCUUCUCCUACUCCUACUAGGAAAGAAGGGAGUCCUACUCCCGGUGGGAGUAGGACUCCCCCCUUGGCGCGCCCUCCUUGCCCGGCCGCCUCCUCCCCCCUGGCUCCUUUAUAUACGGGGGCGGGGGGGCACCCCAAAGACACACAAGUUGAUCUACGGAUCGUUCCUUAGCCGUGUGCGGUGCCCCCCUCCACCAUAUUCCACCUCGGUCAUAUCGUCACGGAGUUUAGGCAAAGCCCUGCGCCGGUAGAACAUCAUCACCGUCACCAUGUCGUCGUGCUGACGGAACUCAUCCUCGACGCUCUGCUGGAUUGGAGCCCGGAGAUCGUCAUCGAGCUGAACGUGUGCUGAACUCGGAGGCGCCGUACGUUCGGAGCUUGGAUCGGUCGGAUCAUGAAGACGUACGACUACAUCAACCGCGUUGUCAUAACGCUUCCUCUAACAGUCUACGAGGGUAUGUGGACAUACACUCUCCCCUCUCGUUGCUAUGCCAUCAACAUGAUCUUGCGUGUGCGUAGGAAAUUUUUUGAAAUUACUACGUUCCCCAACAGUGGCAUCCGAGCCUAGGUUUUAUGCUUUGAUGUUAUAUGCACGAGUAGAACACAGUGAGUUGUGGGCGAUACAAGUCAUACUGCUUACCAGCAUGUCAUACUUUGGUUCGGCGGUAUUGUGAGAUGAAGCGGCCCGGACCGACAUUACGCGUACGCUUACGCGAGACUGGUUUCACCGUUACGAGCACUUGUGCUUAAAGGUGGCUGGCGGGUGUCUGUCUCUCUCACUUGAGCUGAAUCGAGUGUGGCUACGCCCGGUCCUUGCGAAGGUUAAAACAACACCAACUUGACGAACUAUCGUUGUGGUUUUUAUGCGUAGGUAAGAACAGUUCUUGCUAAAUCCCGUAGCAGCCGCGUAAAAUUUGCAACAACAAAGUAGAGGACAUCUAACUUGUUUUUGCAGGGCAUGUUGUGAUGUGAUAUGGUCAAGACGUGAUGCUAUAUUUUAUUGUAUGAGAUGAUCAUGUUUUGUAACCGAAGUUAUCGGCAACUGGCAGGAGCCAUAUGGUUGUCGCUUUAUUGUAUGAAAUGCAAAAGCCCUGUAAUUGCUUUACUUUAUCUCUAAGCGGCAGCGAUAGUCGUAGAAGCAAUAGAUGGCGUAACGACAACGAUGCUACGAUGGAGAUCAAGGUGUUGCGCCGGUGACGAUGGUGAUCACGAUGGUGCUUCGAAGAUGGAGAUCACAAGCACAAGAUGAUGAUGGCCAUAUCAUAUCACUUAUAUUGAUUGCAUGUGAUGUUUAUCCUUUAUGCAUCUUAUCUUGCUUUGAUUGACGGUAGCAUUUUAAGAUGAUCUCUCACUAAAAAUUAUCAAGAAGUGUUCUCACUGAGUAUGCACCGUUGCCAAAGUUCGGCGUGCCCAGACACCACAUGAUGAUCGGGUGUGAUAAGCUCUACGUCCAUCUACAACGGGUGCAAGCCAGUUUUUGCACACGCAGAAUACUCAGGUUAAACUUGACGAGCCUAGCAUAUGCAGAUAUGGCCUCGGAACACGGAGACCGAAAGGUCGAGCGUGAAUCAUAUAGUAGAUAUGAUCAACAUAAAGAUGUUCACCAUUGAAAACUACUCCAUCUCACGUGAUGAUCGGUUAUGGUUUAGUUGAUUUGGAUCACGUGAUCACUUAGAUGACUAGAGAGAUGUCUGUCUAAGUGGGAGUUCUUAAGUAAUAUGAUUAAUUGAACUUAAAUUUAUCAUGAACUUAGUACCUGAUAGUAUUUUGCUUGUCUAUGUUUGUUGUAGAUAGAUGGCUCGUGCUGUUGUUCCGUUGAAUUUUAAUGCGUUCCUUGAGAAAGCAAAGUUGAAAGAUAUUAGUAGCAACGAUGCGGAUUGGAUCCGUGAUCUGAGGUUUAUCCUCAUUGCUGCACAGAAGAAUUAUGUCCUUAAUGCACCACUAGGUGACAGACCUAUUGCAGGAGCAGAUGCAGACGUUAUGAACGUUUGGCUAGCUCAAUAUGAUGACUACUUGAUAGUUUUGUGCACCAUGCUUUAUGGCUUAGAAUCGGGAUUUCAAAGACGUUUUGAACGUCAUGGACCAUAUGAGAUGUUCCAGGAAUUGAAGAUUAAUAUUUCAAGCAAAUACCCGAGUUGAGAGAUAUGAAGUCUCCAACAAGUUCUAUAGCUAAAAGAUGGAGGAGAAUCUCUCAACUAGUGAGCAUGUGCUCAGAUUGUCUGGGUACUACAAUCGCUUGAAUCAAGUGGGAGUUAAUCUUCCAGAUAAGAUAGUGAUUGACAGAAUUCUCUAGUCACCACCACCAAGUUAGUAGAACUUCGUGAUGAACUAUAAUGCAAGGGAUGACAAAAACGAUUCCCGAGCUCUUCGUGAUGCUAAAAUCGAUGAAGGUAGAAAUCAAGAAAAACAUCAAGUGUUGAUGGUAGACAAGACCACUAGUUUCAAGAAAAGGGCAAAGGGAAGAAGGGGAACUUCAAGAAGAACGGCAAGCGAGUUGCUUCUCAAGUGAAGAAUCCCAACUCUGGUCCUAAGCCUGAGACUAAGUGCUUCUACUGCGAAAGGAUUGGUCACUGGAAGCGGAAAUACCCCAAGUGAUUGGCGGAUAAGAAGGAUGGCAAAGUGAACAUAAGUAUAUUUGAUACAUGUUAUUGAUGUGCCUUACUAGUGUUUAUAGUAGCCCCUGAGUAUUUGAUACUAGUUCAGUUGCUAAGAUUAGUAACUCGAAACGGGAGUUGCAGAAUAAACAGAGACUAGUUAAGGGUGAAGUGACAAUGUGUGUUGGAAGUGGUUCCAAGAUUGAUAUGAUCAUCAUCGCGCACUCCCUAUACUUUCGGGAUUAGUGUUGAACCUAAAUAAAUGUUAUUUGGUGUUUGCGUUGAGCAUGAAUAUGAUUUGAUCGUGUUUAUUGCAAUACGGUUAUUCAUUUAAGUAAGAGAAUAAACUGUUGUUCUGUUUACAUGAAUAAAACCUUAUAUGGUUACACACCCAAUGAAAAUGGUUCAUUUGAUCUCGAUCAUAGUGAUACACAUAUUCAUAAUAUUGAAACCAAAAGAUGCGAAGUUAAUAAUGAUAGUGCAACUUAUUUGUGGCACUGCCGUUUGGGUCAUAUCGGUGUAAAGCGCAUGAAGAUACUCCAUAAAGAUGGAUUUUCGGAAUCACUUGGUUAUGAAUCAUUUGAUGCUUGCGAACCGUGCCUUUUGGGCAAGAUGACUAAAACUCCGUUCUCCGGAACAAUGGAACAUGCUGCUGACUUAUUGGAAAUAAUACAUACCGAUGUAUGCGAUCCAAUGAGUGUUGAUGCUCGUGGCAAGUAUCGUUAUUUUCUGACCUUCACAAGAUGAUUUGAGAAGAUAUGGGUAUAUCUACUUGAUGAAACAUAAGUCUGAAAUAGUUGAAAGGUUCAAAGAAUUUCAGAGUGAAGUGGAGAAUCAUCGUAACAAGAAAAUAAAGUUUCUGUGAUUUGAUCGCGGAGACAAAUAUUUGAGUUACGAGUUUGGUCUUCAAUUAAAACAAUGUGGAAUAGUUUCACAGCUCACGCCACCUGGAACACCACAAUGUUAUGGUGUGUCCGAACGUCGUAACCGCACUUUAUUGGAUAUGGUGCGAUCUAUGAUGUCUCUUAUCGGUUUUACCACUAUCGUUUUGGGGUUGUGCAUUAGAGACAGCUGCAUUCACGUUUAAAAAGGGCACCAUCUAAAUCCGUUGAGACAACACCGUAUGAACUAUGGUUUAGCAGUAAACCUAAGCUGUCGUUUCUUAAAGUUUGGAGUUGCGAUGCUUAUAUAAAAAGGUUUUCAACCUGAUAAGCUCGAACCCAAAUUGGAGAAGUGCGUCUUCAUAGAAUACCCAAAGGAAACUGUUGGGUACACCUUCAAUCAUAGAUCCGAAGGCAAGACAUUCGUUGCUAAGAAUGGAUCCUUUCUAGAGAAGGAGUUUCUCUCGAAAGAAGUGAGUGGGAGGAAAGUAGAACUUGAUGAGAUAACUGUAUCUACUCCCUUAUUGGAAAGUAGUUCAUCACAAGAACCGGUUCCUGUGAAAACUACACCAAUUAGUGAGGAAGCUAAUGAUAUUGAUCAUGAAACUUCAGAACAAGUUUCUACUGAACCUUGUAGGUCUACCAGAGUAAUAUUCGCACCAGAGUGGUAUGGUAAUCCUAUUCUGAAAGUCAUGUUACUUGACCAUGAUGAACCUACGAACUAUGAGGAAGUGAUGAUGAGCCCAGAUUCCGCAAAAUGGCUUGAGGCCAUGAAAUCUGAGAUGGGAUCCAUGUAUGAAAACAAAGUAUGGACUUUGGUUGACUUGCCCGAUGAUCGGCAAGCCAUUGAGAAUAAAUGGAUCUUUAAGAAGAAGACUGACGCUGAUGGUAAUGUAACUGUCUAUAAAGCUCGACUUGUUGCGAAAGGUUUUCGACAAGUUCAAGGGGUUGACUACGAUGAGACUUUCUCACCCAUAGCGAUGCUUAAGUCUGUCCGAAUCAUGUUAGCUAUUGCUGCAUUUCAUGAUUAUGAAAUUUGGCAAAUGGAUGUCAAAACUGCAUUCUUGAAUGGAUUUCUGGAAGAAGAGUUGUAUAUGAUGCAGCCAGAAGGUUUUGUUGAUCCAAAAGGUGCUAACAAAGUAUGCAAGCUCCAGCGAUCCAUUUAUGGACUGGUGCAAGCAUCUCGGAGUUGGAAUAAACGUUUUGAUAGUGUGAUCAAAGCAUAUGGUUUUAUACAGACUUUUGGAGAAGCCUGUAUUUACAAGAAAGUGAGUGGGAGCUCUGUAGCAUUUCUGAUAUUAUAUGUAGAUGACAUAUUAUUAAUUGGAAAUGAUAUAGAAUUUCUGGAUAGCAUAAAGGGAUACUUGAAUAAAAGUUUUUUUCAAUGAAAGACCUCGGUGAAGCUGCUUACAUAUUGGGCAUCAAGAUCUAUAGAGAUAGAUCAAGACGCUUAAUAGGACUUUCACAAAGCACAUACCUUGACAAAAUUUUGAAAAAGUUCUAAAUGGAUCAGGCAAAGAAAGGGUUCUUGCCCGUGCUACAAGGUGUGAAGUUGAGUCAAACUCAAUGCCCGACCACAGCAGAAGAUAGAGAGAAAAUGAAAGAUGUUCCCUAUGCUUCAGCCAUAGGCUCUAUCAUGUAUGCAAUGCUGUGUACCAGACCUGAUGUAUGCUUAGCGAUAAGCUUGGCAGGAAGGUACCAAAGUAAUCCAGGAGUGGAUCACUGGACAGCGGUCAAGAACAUCCUGAAAUACCUGAAAAGGACUAAGGAUAUGUUUCUCGUAUAUGGAGGUGACAAGGAGCUAGUCGUAAAUGGUUACGUCGAUGCAAGCUUUGACACUGAUCCGGAUGAUUCUAAAUCGCAAACCGGAUACGUGUUUUUAUUAAACGGUGGAGCUGUAAGUUGGUGCAGUUCUAAACAAAGCGUCGUGGCGGGAUCUACAUGUGAAGCGGAGUACAUAGCUGCUUCUGAAGCAGCAAAUGAAGGAGUCUGGAUGAAGGAAUUCAUUUCCGAUCUAGGUGUCAUACCUAGUGCAUCGGGACAAAUGAAAAUCUUCUGUGACAAUACUGGUGCAAUUGCCUUGGCAAAGGAAUCCAGAUUUCACAAGAGGACCAAGCACAUCAAGAGACGCUUCAAUUCCAUUCGGGACCAAGUCCAAGUGGGAGACAUAGAGAUUUGCAAGAUACAUACGGAUCUGAAUGUUGCAGACCCGUUGACUAAGCCUCUCUCACGAGCAAAACAUGAUCAGCACCAAGACUCCAUGGGUGUUAGAAUCAUUACUAUGUAAUCUACAUUAUUGACUCUAGUGCAAGUGGGAGACUGAAGGAAAUAUGCCCUAGAGGCAAUAAUAAAGUUAUUAUUUAUUUCCUCAUAUCAUGAUAAAUGUUUAUUAUUCAUGCUAGAAUUGUAUUAACCGGAAACAUGAUACAUGUGUGAAUACAUAGACAAACAUAUAGUCACUAGUAUGCCUCUACUUGACUAGCUCAUCAAUCAAAGAUGGUUAUGUUUCCUAACCAUAGACAUGUGUUGUCAUUUGAUUAGUGGGAUCACAUCAUUAGGAGAAUGAUGUGAUUGACAUGACCCAUUCCGUUAGCCUAGCACUUGAUCGUUUAGUAUAUUGCUAUUGCUUUCUUCAUGACUUAUACAUGUUUCUGUAACUAUGAGAAUUAUGCAACUCCCGUUUACCGGAGGAACACUUUGGGUACUACCAAACGUCACAACAUAACUGGGUGAUUAUAAAGGAGUACUACAGGUGUCUCCGAAGGUACAUGUUGAGUUGGCGUAUUUCGAGAUUAGGUUUUGUCACUCCGAUUGUCGGAGAGGUAUCUCUGGGCCCUCUCGGUAAUGCACAUCAUUAUAAGCCUUGCAAGCAAUGUAACCAAAUGAGUUGGUUACGGGAUGAUGCACUACGGAACGAGUAAAGAGACUUGCCGGUAACGAGAUUGAACUAGGUAUUGGAUACCGACGAUCAAAUCUCGGGCAAGUAACAUACCGAUGACAAAGGGAACAACGCAUGUUGUUAUGCGGUUUGAUCGAUAAAGAUCUUCGUAGAAUAUGUAGGAACCAAUAUGGGCAUCCAGGUCCCGCUAUUGGUUAUUGACCGAGAAUAGUUCUAGGUCAUGUCUACAUAGUUCUCGAACCCGUAGGGUCCGCACGCUUAACGUUACGAUGACAGUUUUAUUAUGAGUUUAUAAGUUUUGAUGUACUGAAGUUUGUUCGGAGUCCCGGAUGUGAUCACGGACAUGACGAGGAGUCUCGAAAUGGUCGAGACAUAAAGAUUGAUAUAUUGGAAGCCUAUGUUUGGACAUCGGAAUGGUUCCGGGUGAAAUCGGCAUUUUACCGGAGUACCGGGAGGUUACCGGAACCCCCCGGGGGGUUGUUGGGCCUACAUGGGCCUCGAGGGAGAAGAGAAAAGGAGGUAGGAGGGGGCCGCGCGCCCCUCCCCUUCCUGGUCCGAAUAGGACAAGGGAAGGGGGGCGGCGCCCCCCCCCUUUCCUUCCCCUCUUCCUCCUCUUUCCCCCCUUCUCCUACUCCUACUUGGAAAGAAGAGAGUCCUACUCCCACCCCCCCUUCCUUCCCCUCUUCCUCCUCUUUCCCCCCUUCUCCUACUCCUACUUGGAAAGAAGAGAGUCCUACUCCCGGUGGGAGUAGGACUCCCCCCUUGGCGCGCCCUCCUUGGCCGGCCCCCUCCUCCCCCCUGGCUCCUUUAUAUACAGGGGCGGGGGGGCACCCCAAAGACACACAAGUUGAUCUACGAAUCGUUCCUUAGCCGUGUGCGGUGCCCCCUCCACCAUAUUUCACCUCGGUCAUAUCGUCGCGGAGUUUAGGCAGAGCCCUGCGCCGGUAGAACAUCAUCACCGUCACCACGCCGUCGUGCUGACGGAACUCAUCCCCGACGCUCUGCUGGAUUGGAGUCCGGAGAUCGUCAUCGAGCUGAACGUGUGCUGAACUCGGAGGCGCCGUACGUUCGGAGCUUGGAUCGGUCGGAUCGUGAAGACGUACGACUACAUCAACCACGUUGUCAUAACGCUUCCGCUAACGGUCUACGAGGGUACGUGGACAUACACUCUCCCCUCUCGUUGCUAUGCCAUCAACAUGAUCUUGCGUGUGCGUAGGAAUUUUUUUGAAAUUACUACAUCCCCCAACAUAAAAUGUAUGAUUCAUCAUUGAAACACAUCUUAUAAUUAUGAAUGAUUCAUAAUUGAAAUCCAAUGUAAAUUGAUCGAACAUAAAGAAAUGGAGAAUUAGUUCUAUCCCGUAGCAGCAUUCCAAAGUGUUAACAAUCUGCGACAUAAAAGCCAAACCCUACUCCUCUCAUUUCUCUUAUCCACCUCGACUUCCCCAUCUCCUUCUCAGCUCGCCAACCUUGCACCCAUGCACAGGGGACACCCUCAUCCUCCAGUGGAACACCCAUAUUAUUAUGAGUUUAUGACUACACAUGUUCCUCUUCUACACUUUUGUUACGAUCACACAAAUAUAAAUUAUAGUAGCAUAACCAAAAGGCCAAAAGGUAAACCUUGAAGGAUCAUCCUGAGCACAAGGAAUGUGUGAGGCCAGAUCAUCGUUAUAGAACAAACACCAAGCAAAAAUGAUAAUUUACUCUCAUAUUGUACACACUACGCAUGAUCUUGAACUUAAUAUCCAAGUAUAGUACAGAGCGACCAAUCUACAAGAACCCAACUCAACAUUCUUCCCCACCCUGUUUAUCUAGACAGUAUCAUCAUCCUCAACGGUAUGAUCUGACAUCCUCAAAUUAGCAUACAUCUCUUGCAAUCAAAUGACGUCCACCAGCAACCAGUUGUCCCCAUUGCAUAGCCUGAUGCAAAGUUGAAAAUUCCUGGAAUGAAUGAGAUAUACUCUGGAAUCAUCAUCAUCAGGCGAUAACUAGGCGUUCAUCUCGCCAUACUCCACCCCAUGUAGGGACGGAAUUGUUGAGAAUCUUGAGGAUCCAAAAUCUAAGACAAGAAUAUCAUUCCUGAUGCUCGGUAUGUAUAUAUUAGUGCCGACAAGCCGAGGUCCAAGAAAACAUGGCUGACAGCAAUAAGGGAAAGUGUGUCGUAGCCGAAGUAUGCAAACACCACACACCGUCUUUAAACAUAUAAAAGUAUGCCACACUUUUUCCUCUUCCUGGUCCUGAAAGAACCAGAAGUAGGCCACUUUGUUUGAAGAAGAUGCAUCUGGUACUGCCCUCGGGUAGGUCAUGAGGGGGUUGUUGGAUGAUGGGCACUGCUCCCUCGAGGCACAGCGGGGAUGGUCCAGCCCGAAACGUGGAUUCAGAAUUGCCCUUGAUGAGGAUGCAGCCGUUGUGGCAGCCCCCGGUCCAUACAUUAUGAUAGCCAUCAAAGUUGUAGCUUGCCGCACGGCGGGCGAUGACGGCGAGCUUGGGGGGCUAAGGCUGCAUCAAGGUGAAGAGUUAGGGUGCAGUGAGGUAGAAGCCGAGGGGGUGAGGAGGGUGCAGUUUACGGAAUCGGCGGAGGAAGGCGAGGUUGGAAGCAUGGAGGAACCAACGCUUGCAGGCAAGGGCGAUGGCGCCAACGGGUGUGGUGGGGAAGCCAAGGCGGACGAUGAUCUCGAUGAGGAGGUUGUCGUCGAGCACCUUGGACACGGGGACGGCACAUGGCAGUUUCUUCGCAUUCAUACAUGCCUUGGACGAAAUGGGAUCGGCCCUAAUACAACAAUACUGUUUAAAACUCGGUCGAUUCAACGAUUUAUCGCUACUNNNNNNNNNNNNNNNNNNNNNNNNNNNNNNNNNNNNNNNNNNNNNNNNNNNNNNNNNNNNNNNNNNNNNNNNNNNNNNNNNNNNNNNNNNNNNNNNNNNNNNNNNNNNNNNNNNNNNNNNNNNNNNNNNNNNNNNNNNNNNNNNNNNNNNNNNNNNNNNNNNNNNNNNNNNNNNNNNNNNNNNNNNNNNNNNNNNNNNNNNNNNNNNNNNNNNNNNNNNNNNNNNNNNNNNNNNNNNNNNNNNNNNNNNNNNNNNNNNNNNNUAUGCCAUAUUAUUCUCGUUUUGUCUGAUUUGUCACUCUGGCAAGUGAUUUAUCAGGAGUCUAUCGAUAAACCAGGCUUAUUCCUAGAACUAUGAUUAUUUGUGUUUUGUGGACCUUGCUAUGUAAUAUGUACCUCUAUUCUACUUUGUUUUUAAUUGUACAAGGAUUCAGAGGCAACGAAUCCGACAUAACACUUGUGUCCAAUAUUAUUUUUGUGUUGAGUAUAGCAUAUUGAAGCGAUGUAAACUUGAGAUUUGAACAAAAAUGGCCGAUUAAUAGCCGACUGAUAAAAUCGAUUAAUCAGCCGAUUUUUAAUUAAUCUCUAAUCCCCAGCCAACUGAGACGCUAACGAUAAAUGAUAUCAUUAACAUUCAACAUUCAACAGCUGCUGCAACUAACAAAUGCAACAAUCCAGCUCAACAUUGAGAAACUGCGUAAAACAAUAAGAUACUAGAUGUCACCGUGAGAAACUGUGCAAAACAUAAGAAAUUAGAUGUCACCGUAGGCAUCGUCCCUCUCUCAGUAUGUACAUACCGUGGUAUGUCUGCCUUCCUGUCAUGGUAUGCCUACCUCCCUGUCUCAGCAAGUAGUAUUUUUUGCAAGAGAAGGAAAUAAACUACCUUUGGAGAGAUACGACGACUUUAAUAGUUCAGGCUUUGCUAAAACCCAGUCAAUUAAGAUUUAGUAAGUCUUAAUCGACCUUGCAGCAUUUUAUCCAUGGUUUGCAACAUUUCUUUCAACCGAUUACAACAACCGUCUUGUUGGUUAUAGCACGUCAUUCGUUGUAUCACUCAUCUCAUCAUUUAUUGAUUGUAUCACGUCAUCUCAUCGGUCGACACCCUCCAUUACAUUUCUUCCUACUGGUUACAACAACCGUCUUGUUGGUUGUAGCAUUGACGUUCAUUGAUUGCACCACUCAUCUCAACGAUUGUUGAUUGUAUCACGUCAUCUCACCGGUUGACACAUCCCCAUUAACAUUGUACCACUCAUCUCACCAGUUGUUGAUUGUAUCACGUCAUCUCACAGGUUGACACAGUUGAAAUAUGGGGUGGGCUUUAGGCCCAUCCAACAAUUUCAGAAAAAUCUCUAAGGGCCCAUGUGGGUUUAUUGGCACUAGGUGGAGGUGGGAAGUUUAGUCCCAUCCCGGAAGUGGAAGAGGAGUUGGACCUCCUUAUAAGGGUUCCUCUUCUACAUGCUAUUGGAGCUUGAGAAAAGAAAAGGCCCUCGCACGCUCCUCCGCUGCCGCUCGCCACACCUCGUCGCGCCGCGUCGCGGGUUGCGGGAAUGAGCGGAGCCGAGCUCAGUAUAGAUUUGUCUACUGUUUGUGUAGUACAUGCUUGUGCUUGUUUACAUCAGUAUCAGUAUGUCAGUGCUUGUUUAGAUGGUCGUUAAUUCUGUCAAUGCCAUCUUAGUCAUCUACUUAUGAAUUAAAUUAGUUGAAAAAUUGCCUAUUUAAUAACAUUUUUGUUCGAAUGGUUGUAGCAACGACGUCAAUCGAGCUCCCUCUCUGCAGGUAAAUAUUUGGGGCUCCACUAUCUGCACGUAAAUAUUUGAUUUUUUUGGAACUAUGAUGAUUUUUAUAGCAAAUUCGGAAACUAUACACCCUAAUGGAGAAAAAUCAAAAGUACCACCCCCUCGGCCUCCUGUUAGCCGAAAAGAGACUUUUCGGCCUCCCGUUGACCGAAGAGGGACUUUUGCCAACCGUUGGCCAAAGAGGGACUUUUCGGGCAACCGUUGGCCAAAAAGUACUUUUCGGCCAACAGUUGGCCAAAGAAUCCCUCUUCAGCCAACAAUUGCUCUAUUUUUUUAAAAAAUCAUAUCAAAUAGUUAAUUUAAUUCUUUUUGCAUUAGAUUAGAAAUUUUAUGAAGUUUCUGUAGAUAUCAAGUUUGACUAUAUUUGAAAGUUUGAAUUUGAAUUUUCAUGAAUUUUCUCAAAUCACUAAAUUGCCUAUAAUUUGAGCUAUGAGUAUUCUUUUUAGAUGAUUUUUUUUGCUACUGGUUCUUUGUGACUUUGUUUAUCAGUUGUAAUUAAUUGGUGAAUUUUAGGAUUAUUUAAAAUUAGGUUUUUAUGCCAUUCUUUUCCUUCAUUUGCUCCCGCCAUUUUAUUUUCUGCCAUUCUCUUCCUCCAUUUUCUUUCUGGCCAUUCUCUCCCGCGAUCUUCUUUCCCGCCAUCUUCUUUUUUGCCAUCUUCACUUCUCAACUUAUAAAACGAGCCUCAUAGUGUCCACGAUCAUAGAUAACAUCGUCUGACACGGUCUGUGUUUCCUGCGUCGGUGCUGAUGGUGGAGUGUGAAACACUGUCUGGGAGAAAUCAUAAGUGUUUGCAGCUUCGUCAUCAUCAUCGGAGAGUGUUUCACACUAAUGACUUCUCUCACACAGUGUUUCACACUCCACAUGAAGGCAUCAUCGUCAUCCUUCGUCGAUGCAUCACUCCUUAGUGUGGCGGGAGAGAAUGGCGGGAAAGAAAAUAGCGGCAAAGAAAAUGUCGGGAAAGAAAAUGACGGCAAAAAAAUGGAGGGAAAAAGAUUGCGGGAAAGUACUUUUUUAUCAUGUAUAAAACGGCAAUGGUUAUACAGGAUUUACAAGGCACUUCUAAAUAUAAACUCCUAUGAAGCUCAAAACAAGUUUUCUAGUAGGAUAAAAGAAAUAAAAUACAAAAAAUACUAUAAAUAAAAUAGCUACUGAUAACUAAACAGAAACAAAAUGAAUAUGUCAAAAAGACUAAAGAAAAAAAUCUAAAGCAAUUAAAAUGAAAGAAAUAGCAUAAAACCUAUAAAAUACUAAAACACUAAAACAGAACUGUUUUCAUAAAAACCUAUUUUUUAAUAAUUAUAAAAUUCGCCAAUUAAUUACUACUGAUAAACAAAUUCACAAAUAACCAGUGGCAAAAAGAAUCAUCUAAAAAGAAUACACCUAGCUCAAAUUAUAGGCAAUCUAGUGAUUUGAGAAAAUUCAUGAAAAUUUAAAUUCAAACUUUUAAAUCUAGUCAAACUUGAUAUCUACAGAAACUUCAUAAAAUUUCUAAUCUAAUGCAAAAAGAAUCAAAUUAAAAUACUAAAAAUCCUAUUUGAUAUGAAUUUUUUAGAAAGUAGAGCAACUGUUGGCCGAAAACGAAAAGUCCUUUUUGGACUAGGGUCGGCCGAAAAGUCCCUCUUCGACCAUCGGGAGGCCGACGGGUGACACUUUUGAUUUUUCUUCAUUAGGAUGUAUAGUUUCCGAAUUUGUUAUAAAAAUCAUCAUAGUUUCAAGAAAAAAUCUAAAUAUUUGGGGGAAAUCAAACUAGGGUUUCCCAAACUAGAUUCGAAUUUUCCAAAGAGAAGAGGUAAAUUAGUAGGGGGUCGAGAAGAAGAGGAAGGAGAUAGGGUCGCCUGACCUCGAACCGCCGGUGAGUGGUGGGUUCAGAUCGCCCCAUUUUCACUCGGCUCCGGUGGCCGUUGUGCUGGCUAGAGGAGCGCCGGCAUUCAUACGCACCACUGCUUUGCUAUCCAGCUCCACAUCAAGUUUGUUCACGUCCAUUUCUGAGCAUCUGAUUCGCACGCACGCCAAGCGAAUAAACAAGUACUCAAGUUACAAAUUACGAAUCAAACUUUUGUGAUGAAACCAGGCAAGAGCACUCGAGUCACAAAUUACUACUAGUACAUCAAAGGUGCAUUUUACAACUGACCGAUACAUUUUAUUCGGGCACACGCAUGUGCGCGCAGCAUACACGCGCGAGCCAACUAGGACAGACGGGCAAGAUCACUAGCCACACAAAGAAAACAGGUGCCAGCUCCUGAUCCCGGUCAUCACACACCUAG
rnacentral:lncRNA from 1 species